CUUGGCGCAGAUAUUUUUGAUAUUUUCCAAAACUGCUCCCCGUAAAUUUUCAGGACGUUUGGAGAACUUUGAUUUCUGCACAAAAAUAACACCAAGGCAAUUCUGCUGAAAACAGCAUCAGUCCAAGUUAGUUCCAUUCAAAUCAUGCAAAUUAUAGUCCAAAACAAGGGCAAAAGAGUUUGGAAAAGUAGAUACAUUGGAGACGUAUCAG
rnacentral:lncRNA from 1 species